rnacentral:rRNA from 1 species
CAGGCUUAACACAUGCAAGUCGAACGAGUAAGAGCCGUAGCAAUACGGAGUUCUGCUAGUGGCGCACGGGUGAGUAACACGUGGGAAUGUACCCUUUAGUUCGGAAUAACAGCGGGAAACUGCUGCUAAUACCGGAUACGCUCUUCGGAGGAAAGAUUUAUCGCUAAAGGAUCAGCCCGCGUUAGAUUAGGUAGUUGGUGGGUAAUGGCCUACCAAGCCUACGAUCUAUAGCUGGUCUGAGAGGAUGAUCAGCCACACUGGAACUGAGACACGGUCCAGACUCCUACGGGAGGCAGCAGUGGGGAAUAUUGGACAAUGGGCGAAAGCCUGAUCCAGCAACGCCGUGUGUGUGAAGAAGGCCUUAGGGUUGCAAAGCACUUUCAGUGGGGAAGAAAAGUUCAAGGCUAAUACCCUUGAAUCUUGACGUUACCCACAGAAGAAGCACUGGCUAA